rnacentral:rRNA from 1 species
AACGCGAAGAACCUUACCAAGGUUUGACAUGGCCGGAAAACUCGCAGAGAUGCGGGGUCCUUCGGGGCCGGUCACAGGUGGUGCAUGGCUGUCGUCAGCUCGUGUCGUGAGAUGUUGGGUUAAGUCCCGCAACGAGCGCAACCCUCGUCCCAUGUUGCCAGCAGGUAAAGCUGGGGACUCAUGGGAGACUGCCGGGGUCAACUCGGAGGAAGGUGGGGAUGACGUCAAGUCAUCAUGCCCCUUAUGUCUUGGGCUGCAAACAUGCUACAAUGGCCGGUACAAAGCGCUGCGACAUCGUGAGAUGAAGCGAAUCGCAUAAAGCCGGUCUCAGUUCGGAUCGGGGUCUGCAACCCGGCCCCGUGAAGCCGGAGUCGCUAGUAAUCGCGGAUCAGCAACGCCGCGGUGAAUACGUUCCCGGGCCUUGUA